rnacentral:tRNA from 1 species
GUCUCAGUAGCUCAAUUGGAUAGAGCAUCCCCUCCUAAGGGAAGGUUGGCAGUUCGAACCUGCCCUGGGACACCA